UACGGGGGGAGCAAGCGUUGUUCGGAUUUACUGGGCGUAAAGGGCGCGUAGGCGGCCAGCACAAGUCAGUUGUGAAAUCUCCGGGCUUAACUCGGAAAGGUCAACUGAUACUGUGCGGCUAGAGUGCAGAAGGGGCAACUGGAAUUCUCGGUGUAGCGGUGAAAUGCGUAGAUAUCGUCAGGAACGCCGAUGGUGAAGACAGGUGACUGGGCUAGUUCUGACACUGAGGCACGAAAGCGUGGGGAGCGAACGGG
rnacentral:rRNA from 1 species